rnacentral:rRNA from 1 species
AUUGAACGCUGGCGGCAUGCCUUACACAUGCAAGUCGAACGGUAACGGGUCCUUCGGGAUGCCGACGAGUGGCGAACGGGUGAGUAAUAUAUCGGAACGUGCCCAGUAGUGGGGGAUAACUGCUCGAAAGAGCAGCUAAUACCGCAUACGACCUGAGAGUGAAAGGGGGGGAUCGCAAGACCUCUCGCUAUUGGAGCGGCCGAUAUCAGAUUAGCUAGUUGGUGGGGUAAAGGCCUACCAAGGCAACGAUCCGUAGUUGGUCUGAGAGGACGACAGCCACACUGGGACUGAGACACGGCCCAGACUCCUACGGGAGGCAGCAGUGGGGAAUUUUGGACAAUGGGCGCAAGCCUGAUCCAGCAAUGCCGCGUGCAGGAAGAAGGCCUUCGGGUUGUAAACUGCUUUUGUCAGGGAAGAAAUCUUCUGGGCUAAUACCCCGGGAGGAUGACGGUACCUGAAGAAUAAGCACCGGCUAACUACGUGCCAGCCGCCGCCGUAA